rnacentral:rRNA from 1 species
UACGUAGGGCGCAAGCGUUGUCCGGAAUUAUUGGGCGUAAAGAGCUCGUAGGCGGCUUGUCACGUCGGAUGUGAAAGCCCGGGGCUUAACCCCGGGUCUGCAUUCGAUACGGGCAGGCUAGAGUUCGGUAGGGGAGAUCGGAAUUCCUGGUGUAGCGGUGAAAUGCGCAGAUAUCAGGAGGAACACCGGUGGCGAAGGCGGUUCUCUGGGCAUGUCCUGACGCUGAGGAGCGAAAGUGUGGGGAGCGAACAGG